rnacentral:rRNA from 1 species
CCUACGGGAGGCAGCAGUGGGGAAUAUUGCGCAAUGGGCGAAAGUCUGACGCAGCGACGCCGCGUGAGGGAUGAAGGUCUUCGGAUCGUAAAACUUUGUUAGCAGGGAAGUACGGUCACUGUGCUAAUCAGCAGUGCAUUGACGGUAUCUGCAAAGGAAGCACCGGCUAACUCCGUGCCAGCAGCCGCGGUAAUACGGAGGGUGCGAGCGUUAAUCGGAAUUACUGGGUGUAAAGCGCGCGUAGGUGGUAUGUCAAGUCAAGGGUGAAAUCCCCGCGCUCAACGGUGGAACUGCCUUUGAAACUGGCAGACUUGAGUAUGUUAGAGGAUAGUGGAAUUCGAGGUGUAGGAGUGAAAUCCGUAGAUAUCUGGAAGAACAUCGGUGGCGAAGGCGACUAACUGACACAUAACUGACGCUGAGGAGCGAAAGCGUGGGUAGCAAACAAGAUUAGAUACCCUAGUAGUC